rnacentral:lncRNA from 1 species
CCGGACUUACAGUAAUCACAGAAAGAAUUUAACUUCACUUAAUUUAAAAGGAUUUGGAGCGGGAGGGGUUUUUCAAUUACCCACAGGUGCUGUAGGGGCUGGCGCAGGCAGUGGGGUUGGGGGAGUUCUACUUUAGAAACCAAGGUCAGCCACACUCCCUGGUGGGAAGAUACUGACGCAUAUCCCAGCGAACACUCCCAGCCUAGUCCUCUAAUUGUUGAGUAACUCCUGGGGGACUCGUGUCUGAUUGCUCUUUGGCAGAGUCUGAAUCUGAGCUUCAGUGCUUAAAAUGUAUGGCAUCUAAUUCUAAUUGAGGAUAAUUCCACGUCCCCACAUUGAUUUCAGCUCCCUGCUUCUUAUGACCAAGGAACUGCAUUGAAAAGAGUGUUUCCUGGCUGUUGAAUGAUGAUGAAGCUGAGUUCCAGCUUUCUCGGUUUGGAUCUAACUGGACCGGAACAGGUCAUGGCAAGCUUCUCUUGGCAUUUUAGUUGUUGAUAAGUGAACAAUAAACUCUGUUUAAUAGUAAGCUGUGAUUUUUUUUUUUUUUAAAGAUGCACUGCCCUUCAUCUUUGGGCAACAUUUCUAUGACAGUGAAAGUGAUCAAGGCACAUGACUAAGGGGAAACUCCAUGAAAUGACACCCCUUUAAGAAAGAAAGAGCCCCAAGCCUCAAGCAUGUUAAACGAGAUCAUCGAAGUCAGGUGCUCAGCAUAAAGUCACCAUACAGCACAUGCUCAAUAAGUGUCAGGGGCUGAGAGGCAGUCUUUCCAGGGAGGAGAAAUGAAUAUGAAAUAAUGGGUAAUCACAGCUAGAUAGGAGGAAAAAGUUCCAGUUCUCUAGACCACUGUAGGGUGACUACAGUUACAAUAGUAUAUAUGUUUAGAUAGC